rnacentral:tRNA from 1 species
CAGAAGAUAGUUAAAGUUAUAACAUUUCACUUACACUGAAAAUCACCCGCUAAAUCGAGUUGUUCUGA